UUCUCUCUUUGAAAUCUAAAAUUUCUUCUUCUCUUUCACCAAAAUCAAUUUCCCUCUCCCAAAUGAUUUCAUAUUCCGGCUCAACAAAUUAAGCGGACAUAUAAAAACAAAUUGCGCUCUCAAAAUUACAAUUACUAGGGUUUAUCUCUACUAAUUCGCGCUCAAAUCUUCUCUCUCAAAUUAACCUCCUCACGCUCUCCGAUUCCUUACUCUACCACAUCUCCGCCGUUCUCCACCUGAUCUCCGACGUUCUCCACCGGAUCUCCGUGGUUCUUCACCAGAUGAACCGAUUACAAUAAAAGCCGGCAAAACGAGCGGGUCGGGUCGGCCUGGUGAUUGGUCACUAGUCAGGGGAUUCGGGUCAGUAUGAGUUCGGGUUAGGACAUGUUUGAGCAAAGGGUACUUCAGAAGCAAAAUGGUACCUGAAAUUACUGGCAUUACAUGUCUCACACUUGCAAUAAGGAUUGAAGAAAACCAGCUCUACAACAGCAUUCAACAGAAUUUGUAUAAUAUGGGAAGCAAUUAACAAUUAACUUAUGGUCAUUUUCAAGUGGGAGUUGAAACAGAAGUCUGGAAUGAGCCCACCUGGUGGUGGGUUCAAGCAAGAUGAUCCAAACCAGCAGAUAUUGUAAAGGACAUCUUUGUCGAAUAUGGAGGUAAGUUUACUUAGAAAUCAUGUUGCACACACAUAAUAUCACUAGAUAAUUAUAAAAAAUUAAUGAAAUUAAACUUAAAAAUAAGUAAUAAAGUAAAAGGGUCUGUAAAUGUUAUGUUAAGCUUUAAUACUUAAUUGACACCAGUCUUUGUUUCCUUUGUAUUUGGUCUCUGGUUAUACUCACCGCCAUUCAGUAUUGACAGUUAUUGUGCUCAUACCACUUCGAAUCCCAAGUGCUCUAUUAGCAGGCCAAAGGGAUGAGUGAGAAGAAUAUUCCACAGAAGGCAUGAAUCUAUUACCUGCCAAGCAGAGGAGAAAUAGUUUGAACUUGAUAUUGAGCGUUUUUUGUGGGGGAAAGACUCCCGCAAAACAUUGAUGAUUAAAAAUAUUCCAAAUGAUUAUGAUAGUAUCUGUAUUGUUUCUUUUAUCAUCUUAGAAUUAGUUUGAAUUAUCCUAAAGAAUUCCCACUAGUUUUGUAGUUAUUGAAUACACUUUAUUACUACAGGUACAGUUCAACAAUACUAUUGGCUGCAAUCAAUGAACUUAUGGUAUAUAUACCUGUCUCUUGACUUCAAGGUAUGUUUUUUUAACAACCCAGUUUGGGUUGUCAAAAAAAGAUGAAAACUUUGGACACCCUGCUACUGGACACUGCAGGUCCCGAUUUGUCUGACUUUACAAAUCCGGCAGCAGAGGCGGUGACUGCGACUCUGUAAUGCCAUUUCACAUGCGAAGCCAAUGUAACCGACAUUGAAAGAGCUUGGUGUUGGGAAUUUCGGAGUCGCAAGGUUGAUUUGCUUUAGGUUGAAUAUAGUGAAUUGGCUGAUGCGGCGACAGUAAGGAGUAAGUGCAGGGAACAACUAUGAAGUGGGAAAUACGAUUGCUAAGAAAGAGUUAACACAAUGAAUAUUUUACUCGAAUGAAGAUUGUGAAAAAGAUUCAUGAACGCAAUGGAGUUUUGAGUUUUUGUUCAAACAUUUUUUGAAUAUUUAUUUUGUAUGUUCGAUAUUUAGACUUAGGUUGAGAUUUAAUUAGUUAUUUCGUUGCAAACAUUUGGAAUCUUUGGAAGAUGAUUGAUUGAACUUUUUAAUUGAAUUGAUUAUAUUAUUAUGAUU
rnacentral:lncRNA from 1 species